AGUGAACGCUGGCGGUAGGCCUAACACAUGCAAGUCGAACGGCAGCACAGUAAGAGCUUGCUCUUACGGGUGGCGAGUGGCGGACGGGUGAGGAAUACAUCGGAAUCUACCUUUUCGUGGGGGAUAACGUAGGGAAACUUACGCUAAUACCGCAUACGACCUACGGGUGAAAGCAGGGGAUCUUCGGACCUUGCACGAUUGAAUGAGCCGAUGUCGGAUUAGCUAGUUGGCGGGGUAAAGGCCCACCAAGGCGACGAUCCGUAGCUGGUCUGAGAGGAUGAUCAGACACACUGGAACUGAGACACGGUCCAGACUCCUACGGGAGGCAGCAGUGGGGAAUAUUGGACAAUGGGCGCAAGCCUGAUCCAGCCAUACCGCGUGGGUGAAGAAGGCCUUCGGGUUGUAAAGCCCUUUUGUUGGGAAAGAAAAGCAGCAGGUUAAUACCCCGCUGUUCUGACGGUACCCAAAGAAUAAGCACCGGCUAACUUCGUG
rnacentral:rRNA from 1 species